AUCCAAAUAAUAUAUAGCGGAAGCAGUGAAAGAGGAAAGGCAAAAAUCUAUCAUACCAUGUUGCACAGAACUACAGUCUGUAUAUCUCAAUUGGGGAGAGCAUGUGAGAGAGGCUGUAAGAGGUUUAUCUGGUACACCACAACAUCCAGGACAGGAUAGUGUUGGCAUGAGAAGUAACCACAUGAUAACCUUCAUCCCAGAACCUUUAUUACUUGAACAGUACGGGAAGCAGACACAGGAAAGUAGUAACUCUUAAUCAUCAAUACAUUUUAAAAUUAAGAACUAGCUUAGAAAGGUGGUGGUGAUGAAAUAUUAAUAUUCACCUGUUGUGUAGUAAAUUAAAGAAAGCAGUACAGUUUUAAUACUUAAUUCCAAGAUGAUAAAUGAGAGAUAGUUGAUGACUUUGUUCAGAUAACUGUCUGUCACUACAUUAAAUUAAAUAUAAAUGACUUCUUCUAUCAUUCUGUGUUUCCUUCUUUCCUGGACAGUGGUUUCUGCUAGGAGGCAAAAA
rnacentral:lncRNA from 1 species